UAGAAAAUGUACACUCAAUGCGAAAAUUUAAGGGCUAAAAAGUUGCAUUUUGCUAAUAAAAAAUCCAAGUGGGACCAUAUGGAAUGGAGCCUUUAUAUUUGACUCGACUCUCAUGCGAAUAAAUUACUGACCCCAUACUCAAUCAGUCACCAUUCGUAGUCUCUCUUGGAAAAACUCAUCUCUCUCCUCUCCUUGACAUGGAGGAUUCAAGAGAGCCACUUCUUUCUCCAAGAGACGACGAAAACCAAAACCAUCCCCGUGAUAAGGAUCAAGACCAGCGAUACUCACUUCCCAGAUCAACAACAAACACUAGUUCCUUCGUCCCCGACGCCGAUGACAUCCCUCCUAUCAACGGCAUCCGUGAUUUCUUUAGAGAAUUCUACAGGGAGUCCAAGAAACUUUGGUACCUGGCCGGCCCUGCCAUCUUCACCUCCAUUUGUCAGUACUCCCUCGGCGCCAUCACUCAAGUCUUUGCAGGCCAAGUUGGAACCCUCGAACUCGCCGCCGUCUCCGUUGAGAACUCUGUCAUCGCCGGUUUUUCCUUCGGCGCCAUGCUUGGAAUGGGAAGUGCGCUUGAAACGCUAUGUGGGCAAGCAUUUGGAGCAGGGAAACUGGAUAUGCUUGGAAUCUAUUUGCAAAGAUCAUGGAUCAUUCUUGGCACUACAUCCGUUCUUCUCUCCUUCCUAUAUAUCUUCGCAGCUCAACUUUUGAAGUUGAUUGGGCAAACAGCAGCCAUAUCAAAAGCAGCAGGGAUAUUCUCCAUCUGGAUGAUACCUCAGUUAUUCGCUUAUGCUUUAAACUUCCCCAUGGCAAAAUUCUUGCAGGCUCAAAGCAAGAUCAUGGUUAUGGCCUUGAUCGCUGCUGCAGCUUUGGUCUUACACGCAUUUUUCAGCUGGUUAUUGAUGCUGAAGUUGGGAUGGGGAUUGGUUGGAGCCGCAAUAGUAUUAAAUGCUUCUUGGUUGUUGAUUGAUUUAGCUCAGUUUUUGUAUAUUAUCAGUGGAACUUGUGGACGAGCUUGGAAUGGAUUCUCAUGGAAGGCCUUUCAAAACUUGUGGAGUUUUGUUCGGUUGUCCCUUGCAUCUGCUGUUAUGCUUUGCUUGGAAAUUUGGUAUUUUACGGCAUUAAUACUGUUCGCUGGAUACUUAAAGAACGCAGAGGUCUCAGUGGAUGCCUUGUCCAUAUGCAUGAACAUUUUGGGCUGGACAGUCAUGGUAGCUAUUGGUGUAAAUGCAGCUAUAAGUGUGAGAGUAUCAAAUGAGCUAGGCGCAGCUCAUCCAAGAACAGCAAAAUUUUCACUUGUGGUGGCUGUUAUAUCAUCUUUUAUGAUUGGUGUCGUUCUCUCUCUCAUUCUCAUCCUUACAAGAACUAAGUAUCCAUCUUUGUUUUCCUCGGAUUCUCAAGUCAAAGAACUUGUCAAUGAGCUUACACCUCUGCUUGCUCUCUGCAUCGUCAUUAACAAUAUUCAGCCUGUUCUUUCUGGUGUGGCUAUUGGAGCAGGAUGGCAAGCAAUUGUGGCUUAUGUGAACAUAGCUUGUUACUAUGUGUUUGGGAUUCCUCUGGGUCUUAUAAUGGGUUAUAAACUUGAAAUGGGUGUUCGUGGGAUUUGGUAUGGAAUGUUGUCAGGGACUGUAGUACAGACUGUUGCCCUUUUCUUCAUGGUCUAUAGAACAAAUUGGAACAAAGAGGUAACUAAUUUAACAUUUGAUAGAAGUAUUUUAAUAUAGUAUUUGUUUCUUUAGAUAUAGAAUUUUCUCAUUAGCUCUGUUAAUUAAUUAGUAGAUAUAUAUAUGUAUACAACAGUGAAUGAAUUAAAAAGAAAAUUACAGAGUUAAAUUUUUGUGUGAAAUGCAGGCUUCUAUUGCUGAAGAUAGGAUAAAAAGAUGGGGAGGACACAAAGAUUCUGAAGGAUUUACAUAGAAAAGAAUAACAAUGUCUUGAAAGUGAUAAGGAUUUUGCCAAAAUUGUGGUUCUCUGACCCUGAGGGAGUCAAUAAUUUCUGAGGACAAAUCUGAUCAGAAAGCUUUUUUUUUUUUGUUUAGAAAAAAAGAUUUGCACCAAUUUUAAUGGAUAAUAUAAUAUAAAAAAAAAUAGUUUCCUUCUUAAGAAAUGUAAAAUUAAGUUGUCUUCUUCGAAAGAUACGCAUAUUGGAUGCAAAGUUUAGUGUGUUAAAUACAUAUACAAUUAUAUAUA
rnacentral:misc_RNA from 1 species